rnacentral:misc_RNA from 1 species
CAACCCUCAAGCUCUGCUUGGUAUUGGGCCUCCGCCUCCCCGGCGGGCCUUGAAAUCAGUGGCGGUGUCAUCUGACUCUAAGCGUAGUAAAUUAUUCUCGCUCCGGAGCUUCGGGUGGUUACUUGCCAGUGAACCCCAAAUUUUUAAA